UGCAACAGGUACUGGUCUCAGAUCAUUAGCUCCUUAUAAGCCACUGUAGCAGCCAUCAGAUGGUAACCACAUUUGGCCUGUAUGUCCUGAGUCAGAAUUGUAGCAGGGAUCUAGCAAUAAAACACCAGGUGAGUGAGCUAGUCAGUUCCCCAUGGCUAAGCGAUUUUAACCUCUGGGCAGUGACCCCAAGAGUACUGAGAAAUGUCCAGGCUGCUCGUGGCCUGUUUCCACUUUGCUCAGGAAGUGGAGACUUCAAGUGGAGGAGAGGAGAUUACAGUCUCACCAAUGUCUCUCUUUCCUUUUAGUCUCAGUGGUAGGAGCCUGGGUUUGCUACGCUGCCAGCAUGAAGGUUUUGCUAAUCUUGGGGGCUUUUCCUCCUGCCUGUGGCUGCUCAUGGGAAGAUCUACGAAAGGUGUGAGCGGGCAAAAGCAAUGAAAAGGCUUAGGCUGGAUGGAUACUGAGGCUACAGCCUGGGACACUGUAAGUCUGCUUCCUUGGAGGAGAUGUCCAUGUGAUUCAGAGGGUAGGCAGGUGAUAUACCCAUUGAAUUAAUCCUAGACAUUAGAUAACCUAGGAGGUUUUUCCAUCUCUAAUCUGUCCUUGGCACAGGCUGGUUCCCUGCAGUGUAUUGCCUACAGCUGUGCUCAGUCUUGUUUAAAAUGUCCCAAGCAAUGGGAAUAUCACUUCUUCCCUGAAACCCUCCCACAGUUAAACAGCUUGCACUGUCAGAAACCUUUUCCUGACACCAGUCUGAGAGACCUUCCCCCAAUUCCAUCGCAUUAUUCCUAGUUAUAGCCUUUGUACAAUUCCACGUUUGAUGUUUGCACCCCUCACGCUCUGCUCUUUGAGCCUCACUGUAGCUGAGCAGGGAGACAGUGCUGGACUUGGGAUGCAGAGCACAGCACAAGGCCUGGGUGGGAGGAUCACCAGCAGCAUCUCAAAACCCCCAAUUCAAGCUUAUGUGAUUAAAUUCGAGACGAUGGGCUGAGGGAGAGGGAUCCUUGGAGAGCCUGGAUGGAGAGUAAGGGAUGGGGCAGUUUAGAAGUGAGGAAGAGAGGGGGAAUCAGGACUCAUAGAAGAGCACAUAAGACGAGUGGGCCCCACCGGCGAGAGAAGGGUGAGGGCCUUUCUUCAUUUGUUAGCAGUGAUAGGAAAUUAUUAUUCAACCAGUUUGUUUUUAAGGUUUACCUGUGUUCUGAGCCACAAUCCAGAGAGUUAAACACACAUGAUGUUUAUGCAGCCCUGAAUAUCUCAAAUCAAAGACUCCUUCCUUCUAACCUGACUAAUUCAGAUCCACUUGCUGUAAAUGAGGAAAGAAUAAGGGUGCUCUGGUUAAAGUUUACCAUCAUUGCUAGUACUUAUGCAGCGCCAUCUAUGGAAACAAAGGUGACGGCACUAGCGUAGAUAAAAUUUCAGCAGGUGCCGUGGUUUAGACUUAUUUUCAACAGGAAUGGACAAGGCAGUAUUAAAAUGCCAAUGGCUACCUGGAGCCCUCUUUACAGUAGGUCUUUCACCAUUGAUCCUCCCCCUGUUGGAAACAGCAGGAAAGAAAUGUUCCAUCUCACUUAACUGCAUUUUAUGAGUUCAUUACACGCAGAGUCAUUCCCUGCCAGAGAAAUGAUUAUGUUUCCCCAUGUCUUUCCUUAGUAAUAUUUAUUGGUUUUGAUUUGCAUGUUAAUAAUAUUUUCUUUAGAAAGGUGUUUGUCUCUGUAGCAUUUUACCCCAAAACACUGGUGUUUCCUUCAAAGAUGUAGGCCCCCUGCAGUGUUCAGAUGACAAUCAAAAGUUUUAUAUAUAGAAUGAUUUUUCUUACACUUCAUAUUUAAUAAGGAUUGUGACUCUCAUAAGAAUAAAAGGAAGAAAAGCUGGCUGUGUGUACUUUGUAUUAAAUCAUUUGCAUAAUCUACAAACAGGUGAUAGGGGUGUUUAGAUCCAUAUUUCUGUAAAAUAUCAAGCUAUGAGGAGUUUUUAUCAGCAGAGAAAAUACAUCAAUCUGUGUGUGGUUAUUUUUUUAAAACGGAACCUUCACAAGGGUGUGCACAGCAAGAUACGAGAGCGACUUUAACACAGGUGCCACGCAUUAUAGCUAACCUUCCAGAAGCACUGACUAUGGGAUUUUUCAAAUCAACAGCCGCUGUUGGUGCAAUGAUGGCAAGACUCCAAGAGCCAAGAAUGCAUGUGGAAUCCAGUGUCGUGCAGACAUUACAGCGAGUGUAAACUGUGCAAAGAGAAUUGUUCGCGCUUCCAAUGGCAUGAGUGCAUGGGUGGUGUGGAAAAAGUACUGGGGAGGAUGAGAUGUCUCCCGGUGGAUCAAGGGCUGCAAGCUGUAAAAUGUUGGGAUUUAUACCAGCUUGGUUCCCUUGCAAAUAAGCAGCUUUUCACAUAGAGCAAAAUGUUCCCUCUGCUUCUUCCCUUUUACAAUUAAUCAUGUUCAAAAUAAAACAAACUCAGGAGAAAGGUUUGCAGGGCACCUGACUGGUGAAAUGCAAAUAUUUUACUCCUUGCUGGUAAGACUGUGGAUCUUUCCAUGUAACGAGCUAAGGUAACUUAUUUUGUGUUAUACAAAGUUCAAAAGAUAUAUGAUUACCUCUAUAUUAUAUAUACACAUCCAGAUAAGUCAGAUCUGUUUUUCCUUUAUGAGAUCCUGCUACUAUUUUGUUGUGCUAAUUAGUAGUAUUGUGUCAUCUUGC